GAUGAACGCUGACAGAAUGCUUAACACAUGCAAGUCAACUUGAAUUUGGGUUUUUAACUUAGGUUUGGGUGGCGGACGGGUGAGUAACGCGUAAAGAACUUGCCUCACAGCUAGGGACAACAUUUGGAAACGAAUGCUAAUACCUAAUAUUAUGAUAAUAGGGCAUCCUAUAAUUAUGAAAGCUAUAAGCGCUGUGAGAGAGCUUUGCGUCCCAUUAGCUAGUUGGAGAGGUAACGGCUCACCAAGGCGAUGAUGGGUAGCCGGCCUGAGAGGGUGAUCGGCCACAAGGGGACUGAGACACGGCCCUUACUCCUACGGGAGGCAGCAGUGGGGAAUAUUGGACAAUGGACCGAGAGUCUGAUCCAGCAAUUCUGUGUGCACGAUGAAGUUUUUCGGAAUGUAAAGUGCUUUCAGUUGGGAAGAAAAAAAUGACGGUACCAACAGAAGAAGUGACGGCUAAAUACGUGCCAGCAGCCGCGGUAAUACGUAUGUCACGAGCGUUAUCCGGAUUUAUUGGGCGUAAAGCGCGUCUAGGUGGUUAUAUAAGUCUGAUGUGAAAAUGCAGGGCUCAACUCUGUAUUGCGUUGGGAAACUGUAUAACUAGAGUACUGGAGAGGUAAACGGAACUACAAGUGUAGAGGUGAAAUUCGUAGAUAUUUUGUAGGGAAUGCCGAUGGGGAACCAGCCUUACUGGAACAGAUACUGACGCUGAAGCGCGAAAGCGUGGGGAGCAAACAGG
rnacentral:rRNA from 1 species